GGCUAUACAUGCAGUCGAACGAACUUCCGUUAAUUGAUUAUGACGUACUUGUACUGAUUGAGAUUUUAACACGAAGUGAGUGGCGAACGGGUGAGUAACACGUGGGUAACCUGCCCAGAAGUAGGGGAUAACACCUGGAAACAGAUGCUAAUACCGUAUAACAGAGAAAACCGCAUGGUUUUCUUUUAAAAGAUGGCUCUGCUAUCACUUCUGGAUGGACCCGCGGCGUAUUAGCUAGUUGGUGAGGUAAAGGCUCACCAAGGCAGUGAUACGUAGCCGACCUGAGAGGGUAAUCGGCCACAUUGGGACUGAGACACGGCCCAGACUCCUACGGGAGGCAGCAGUAGGGAAUCUUCCACAAUGGACGCAAGUCUGAUGGAGCAACGCCGCGUGAGUGAAGAAGGGUUUCGGCUCGUAAAGCUCUGUUGUUAAAGAAGAACGUGGGUAAGAGUAACUGUUUACCCAGUGACGGUAUUUAACCAGAAAGCCACGGCUAACUACGUGCCAGCAGCCGCGGUAAUACGUAGGUGGCAAGCGUUAUCCGGAUUUAUUGGGCGUAAAGCGAGCGCAGGCGGUCUUUUAAGUCUAAUGUGAAAGCCUUCGGCUCAACCGAAGAAGUGCAUUGGAAACUGGGAGACUUGAGUGCAGAAGAGGACAGUGGAACUCCAUGUGUAGCGGUGAAAUGCGUAGAUAUAUGGAAGAACACCAGUGGCGAAGGCGGCUGUCUGGUCUGCAACUGACGCUGAGGCUCGAAAGCAUGGGUAGCGAACAGGAUUAGAUACCCUGGUAGUCCAUGCCGUAAACGAUGAUUACUAAGUGUUGGAGGGUUUCCGCCCUUCAGUGCUGCAGCUAACGCAUUAAGUAAUCCGCCUGGGGAGUACGACCGCAAGGUUGAAACUCAAAAGAAUUGACGGGGGCCCGCACAAGCGGUGGAGCAUGUGGUUUAAUUCGAAGCUACGCGAAGAACCUUACCAGGUCUUGACAUCUUCUGACAGUCUAAGAGAUUAGAGGUUCCCUUCGGGGACAGAAUGACAGGUGGUGCAUGGUUGUCGUCAGCUCGUGUCGUGAGAUGUUGGGUUAAGUCCCGCAACGAGCGCAACCCUUAUUACUAGUUGCCAGCAUUAAGUUGGGCACUCUAGUGAGACUGCCGGNGACAAACCGGAGGAAGGUGGGGANAANNUCNAAUCAUCAGGCCCCU
rnacentral:rRNA from 1 species